GUCUGUAUAGUACAGUGGUUAGCAUGUUUGCUUGGGAUGGAAAUCUUUUUAAGAUCUUGGGUUCAAUUCCCAGAUCAGCCG
rnacentral:tRNA from 1 species